AUUUGCCCUCCAACGGUGAUCCACACAGGACUAUGAUCAGAAUACUAACUCUUUAAGAUGAUUUUUCCUCCAAAAUUCUCACUCUGAGAAUUUUUUUAGACACCAGAACCUCAAGACCCUCUUCCUCUUCUCCAAGCCUUCCUAUCCCUGCCUUUCUUCUCUCAUUGUCUUCCUUAAUUCUCUUCCUAAACUCUUAUCCUAAAAUCAGACUUAUUAUUACUAUUUUUGGACUUAUCCUAAUAAGAGAAGGAAGAGACUAAUUGGACAAUAGAGAGAGAAUAUUAGAAAGAAAAGAGAAAUUGAAAAUCUGAAUGAAUCAAACCCCCCGACGCACCCUCUUUAAAUACUUAGCGACGGGUUGCCUUCGGGAAUUAUUCGCGCCCCCUCC
rnacentral:lncRNA from 1 species